UACGUAGGGACCGAGCGUUGUCCGGAAUCAUUGGGCGUAAAGAGCGUGUAGGCGGCUUGCUAAGUCUUGCGUGAAAUCUCGGGGCUCAACCCCGAGCGGUCGUGGGAAACUGGCAGGCUAGAGUGCGGGAGAGGAGAAUGGAAUUCCUGGUGUAGCGGUGAGAUGCGCAGAUAUCAGGAAGAACACCCGUGGCGAAGGCGGUUCUCUGGAACGCAACUGACGUUGAGACGCGAAAGCGUGGGGAGCAAACAGG
rnacentral:rRNA from 1 species